rnacentral:misc_RNA from 1 species
UUGAAUUUUAAUGAAGAGUUUGGUUGUAGCUGGCCCAUUCAUUUGGGCAUGUGCACACCUUCCUCUUUCAUCCCACACACACCUGUGAACCUGUGAGACAGAGAUGGGGAAUUUACUUGCUGCUUUUUGGAAUACAAAGGCAAUAGGUUAUUGAACCCCCCCUCUGUCUACUCAAUUAAUAUAAACUCAAUUUAUUUUAAAACGAAUGUAAUGGAUGUAACACAUCUCAUAC